CGGACGGGUGAGUAACGCGUGGGAAACCGUGCCCUGUACCGGGGGAUAACACUUAGAAAUAGGUGCUAAUACCGCAUAAGCGCACAGCUUCACAUGAAGCAGUGUGAAAAACUCCGGUGGUACAGGAUGGUCCCGCGUCUGAUUAGCCAGUUGGCAGGGUAACGGCCUACCAAAGCGACGAUCAGUAGCCGGCCUGAGAGGGUGAACGGCCACAUUGGGACUGAGACACGGCCCAG
rnacentral:rRNA from 1 species